rnacentral:lncRNA from 1 species
CCUAGAGCUGAGUGCAUUGAGCCCUGCCUCCUACAGCAGACUCAUUCCCAGGGACAGCAUCAGGAGAUGGCUAGAGUGGAGCCUCUGAGCCAUGACCAACUGGAAGCCUCUCUUGCCUGGAGUGAGAGGUACUGCGGGCUGGGAGGAUGCCCCUUUCCCAGAGGCCAGACUAGACUUCACCAUCUUCCAAGUUCCCAGGCUCUCAGGGUGGAUCUCAGCCCAGUUACUCCAUCUCAGUCAUUCACUAGCUGGUCCUCAGCUUGGAGCUGUUCGUACCCUUCCCACGGGAGCCCGGGGAGUCUCUGGUUAUCCCCACCCUUCCCAAGGCCACCCUGGGCAGGGAGCCAAAAAAUCAAUUUAUGGAAAAAAAAAAGCAGAGGCUGAAUAUAAAUUAUUUUUUAACUCACCUCCAGUUAUCUGAUCACCCGGGACGUCUGCUCAGUGAAGAAAUCCUAAGAGUUAAACACACUUCAAGAAGAGAUGGCUUCACGGCUUUGCGGGUGUGGGGGUGGGGUGGGGUGCAGCCAGAGGUAGGGUGUGAACCCGGAGGACUCCCUCCUCUGCUGAGCCACAGGUGU